AACCUGGGACAUAUCAUUCAAGAUCGCUGUGUCACGACCAAUCCCACAUUUCAGAUGUUGUGCAAGGAGAGAGAGGUACUAGAGGUCUCGAUGCUAUCCCUGAGGGACGUCCGAGCUGAGACACUGGUACGCCCAAUCAACAGCAGUCUUUUCAGGCUGACAGCCUACAGACAGUUCACCCUUUGGUCCAGGGGUCAUCUUGGCAGGAGGAACAGGAUCCCAAUUCCAUCCUGUGUUGUGAAUGCCAUCAGGAACGUAUUCCCAUCCAAAGAAUACCAUGGAUUUGAGUACUUUUAUGACUUGUAAAAAAGGUAGUGUAUCUCAAGCAAUAAAUUGUUUUCUAAUCAAUCGUUACAUUGUA